AACGCGAAGAACCUUACCUGGGCUCGAAAUGGAGUGGACCGGGGUAGAAAUAUCCCUUCCCCGCAAGGGGCUGCUCUAUAGGUGCUGCAUGGCUGUCGUCAGCUCGUGUCGUGAGAUGUUGGGUUAAGUCCCGCAACGAGCGCAACCCUUAUCCCUAGUUGCCAUCGGGUCAAGCCGGGCACUCUAGUGAAACUGCCUCGGAUAACGAGGAGGAAGGUGGGGAUGACGUCAAGUCCUCAUGGCCUUUAUGUCCAGGGCUACACACGUGCUACAAUGGUCGGUACAAACCGUCGCAAACCCGCGAGGGGGAGCUAAUCGGAAAAAGCCGGCCUCAGUUCGGAUUGGAGUCUGCAACCCGACUCCAUGAAGCUGGAAUCGCUAGUAAUCGCGGAUCAGAACGCCGCGGUGAAUACGUUCCCGGGCCUUGUACACACCGCUAGUC
rnacentral:rRNA from 1 species